UGUCCCUGGUCGUAGGAAGAGGCCUGACGGAGAGGAGUAGUGUAUUGGUGGCAACCACAGUCUUUACCUUAAGUAAGCUGGAGCUCGGACGUGUUGGAGGCGCCUCUGGAGGAGGUUGGAUGUCGUUGCCCACGCAGCAAUCCCUGGAAGCGAAGGACAACAGCCGAUCCUCCCCCGUGUGCCCCCUUGUCAAGCUGGGCGGGAAGCCCAGUAUUGUUUGCAGUUUCACCUGUAAGGCCCACCAGCCGUCAGUCAUCGACUAAACCCGUAUCUGCUUGGAAUACAGACCUCUGAAUAUCUUCAGUGGUGAGUAGCGCAUUAACAGCUCAGCCCUGUGAAUACCCACCUGUGUAUGGAACACUGUACUUACAUUGAGAGCUAGAACCCCUGCACGCUAACAGCUCAGCCCUGUGAAUACUUACCUGUGUAUGGAACACUGUACUUACAUUGAGAGCUAGAACCCCUGCACGCUAACAGCUCAGCCCUGUGAAUACUUACCUGUGUAUCGAACACUGUACUUACCUGAGAGCUAGAACCCCUGCACGCUAACAGCCCAGCCCUGUGAAUACCCACCUGUGUAUCGAACACUGUAUUUACCUGAGAGCUAGAACCCCUGCACGCUAACAGCCCAGCCCUGUGAAUACUUACCUGUGUAUCGAACACUGUACUUACCUGAGAGCUAGAACCCCUGCACGCUAACAGCCCAGCCCUGUGAAUACUUACCUGUGUAUCGAACACUGUACUUACCUGAGAGCUAGAACCCCUGCACGCUAACAGCCCAGCCCUGUGAAUACCCACCUGUGUAUCGAACACUGUAUUUACCUGAGAGCUAGAACCCCUGCACGCUAACAGCCCAGCCCUUUGAAUACUUACCUGUGUAUGGAACACUGUACUUACUUGAGAGCUAGAACCCCUGCACGCUAACAGCUUAGCCCUGUGAAUACUCACCUGUGUAUUGAACUCUGUAUUUACCUGAGAGCUAGAACCCCUGCACGUCAACUGCCUAGCUCUUGCUUUAAACUUACCUGGAGUGGAGUCGGCGGGAAAUUAAGGGCUGAAGUGGAGUGUUGUCGAGGAAGGGCUGAAGAGGAGUGUUCUUGAGACUGGAAUCCGUAUUUGUGGAUAAAGAAUAGUUCGAGUCAUCAUUAGUUUUAAAGUUUCCUUACCCCUUUCCCCAAACUUUUAAACAAAUAAAAUUGUUACAUUUUAA